AUUGAACGCUGGCGGCAGGCCUAACACAUGCAAGUCGAGCUGAGCGGCGGCCGGGUGAGUUAUUCCUAUGAAUCUGCCUGGUAGUGGGGGAUUACGUCCGGGAACGGGCGCUAAUACUGCAUACUAUCAGAUUAGCCUAGGUCGGAUUAGGUAGGUGGUGGGGUAAAGGCCUACCAGGGCGACGUUCCGUAACUUGUCUGAGAGGAUGAUCAGUCACCCUGGAACUGAGACACGGUCCAGACUCCUACGGGAGGCAGCAGUGGGGAAUAUUGGACAAUGGGCGAAAGCCUGAUCCAGCCAUGCCGCGUGUGUGAAGAAGGUCUUCGGAUUGUAAAGCACUUUAAGUUGGGAGGCGUUACCAGCAGAAUAAGCACCGGCUAACUUCGUGCCAGCAGCCGCGGUAAUUC
rnacentral:rRNA from 1 species